GGAGACACCUCAGAAGCAGCACAGCUAUGCGGUUAGAUUUCAAGGUGUUGGAGAGGGGGAUGGAAACGCCCCAAGAAUGAUUCAGGCGCAGGGUACAAUGGUGGUGCGAUUAACCGAGCGGAGGCGGGUUUUGAGUCAGACAGGUGGGGGUGCAGAUGACACAUUCAUAUUGAAGUUCUUGUGGGACAUCCACGUGGACUUGGAAGAGGCUGUCUCAAGAGAAUACGUAGAAUGGGAAAAGGCAAGGAAUGGAACCCAGAGGAAAACCAAUACUGAAAGAAAGGGCAAGGGAAAAUGGGAUCUAGGAGGGAGACUGAGGAGGAGCCGCAAUAAAGACAGAUGGAAAAUCAGCUUAGCAAUGUCUUGGAAGCCAAAGGGGACAGUUUCAAGAAGCUGGAACAAUGCUGAAGGCUCCCAAAACUGAUCUCAGACUUUGACAAGGCCUUUGGGAUUCUCUUUGGGAUACCUAGAGUUCCAGAGCAUGAGCUGUAAUUUUAAAAAAUAAGGAAAAAACAUUCUUCUGAAAUUUCACAGUGUCCAUGUCCUGGUGUCCCUCUCAAAGACAGUCUGCCUCUCUUCAAGGCAUUAUAAACUAGAAUAUAUGAGACCAUCAAACGAG